UUUUUAAUUUGUUUUGCGCGUCGCGACAAAGAUAAUGCGCGUGCGCGAUAUAUAUUAAACACGUUUUCAUAGUUUUGCCGUUGUGGAUGUGAUUUAGGUCGCUGCUCAUUAUUCACGCGUGCUGUGGCGGCGUUGUGGCGCAAAAAGCGCGUUCGAAAUGGGUUGGAAAACACGUGUUGCUGCGGCAGAGAGGGAGUGGUGGAAACCGUGGUAAACUGGUCUCCGUAGUUGAGCGGGAGGGGCAAGCAUGAGGGGCAACGGUUGUAAUGGUAGCAAGAAAGAAUGUACAAAAGUCUGUGGAAUGGACCUGGGAGGGGCAAGCAUAAGGGACGAAGGCGGGAGUAACAUGUC
rnacentral:misc_RNA from 1 species